rnacentral:rRNA from 1 species
AGAGUUUGAUCAUGGCUCAGGAUGAACGCUGGCGGCGUGCUUUAGAUAUGCAAGUCAUGGGGGUCCGACGCAAGUCGGGCAACCGGCGGACGGGUGAGUAAUGCGUGGGAAUCUACCUCAAAGUUGGACAUAGCCCCGCGAAAGCGGGGGUAAUUUCCAAUGUGAUCCGGCUUUGCCGGAUCAAAGCCGCAAGGCGCUUUGAGAUGAGCCCGCGUCCUAUCAGCUAGUUGGUGGGGUAAUGGCCUACCAAGGCGACGACGGGUAGCUGGUCUGAGAGGAUGGUCAGCCACAAUGGCACUGAGACACGGGCCAUACACCUACGGGUGGCGCAGUCGGGAAUUUUGGACAAUGGGCGAAAGCCUGAUCCAGCGACGCCGCGUGGAGGAUUGAAGGCCUUCGGGUCGUAAACUCCUUUUGCAGCAGAAGAUUAUGACGGUAUGCUGCGAAUAAGCACUUGCUAACUACGUGCCAGAAGCCUCGGUAAUGCGUAGAGUGCAAGCGUUUAUCCGGAUUUACUGGGCGUAAAGAGUUGCGUAGGCGGCUCGACGCAUUCUGUUUGAAAUGCCUCGACUCAAUCGAGGAUUUGGACAGAAGAUGGUCGAGCUAGAGGGAAAGAGAGGGUGCUGGAACCAAUUGUGGAGCAGUGAAAUGCGUUGAUAUGAUUGGGAACACCAAAGGCGUAGGCAGGCACCUAACUUUCUCCUGACGCUGAGGCACGAAAGCUAGGGGAGCGAAGCAGAUUAGAGACCUGCGUAGUCCUAGCCGUAAACAAUCCCUGCUAGAUAGUCUGAUGUAUUUUGGACUGUCGUAGCUAACGCGUUAAGCAGGGCGCCUGGGGAGUACGAGCGCAAGCUUAAAACUCAAAGGAAUUGACGGGGACCCGCACAAGCAGUGGAGCGUGUGGUUUAAUUCGAUACAAAGCGAAAAACCUCACCAGGGCUUGACAUGCACCUGCAAGUCCGGUGAAAGCCGGAUGAUCUUUCGAGGGUGGUGCACAGAUGCUGCAUGGCUGUCGUCAGCUCGUGGCGUGAGCUGUACCCUUAAGUGGGACAACGAGCGCAACCCUCACUGUAUGUUGAAUAAUUCAUACGGAACAGCCCCGAUAUUGUCGGGGAGGAAGGCGAGGAUGACGUCAAGUCAGCACGGUUCUUACGCCCUGGGCUACACACACCCUACAAUGGCGAAAAACAACGGGCUGCAAGCCGGUAACGGUAAGCGAAUCCCUGAAAUUUCGCCUCAGUUCAGAUCGAGGUCUGCAAUUCGACCUCGUGAAGUCGGAAUUGCUAGUAAUCGCGGAUCAGCAGGCCGCGGUGAAUACGUUCUCGGGUCUUGUACACACCGCCCGUCAAGGCAGCAAAGUCGGGGGCACCCGAAUCCCGAUUGUAUCGGGAGAAGGUGAAACUGGCGAUGAGGCUUAAGUCGUAACAAGGUA